ensembl:lncRNA
CCCUGCGGUCUUGGAAUGAGUGUAAGAGCAGCUAUAGGCCCGUGUCUGACAUCAACACCUGCACUCAAUCAACAGGAAUUUGUGCAGGCUGGCGAGAUCUGGAGGAGCAUCAAGGAAGAUCUCAGGAUAAUGGUACUGGUCAGCAAAUUAGAUGCACCACUGCAAUCCCACAAAGCAGCAAAAGUCAACGCCAGUGUGACUUGCAAACUUUGCUAGCCAAGACUCCAGUCACACUGGAGUCAGAAGAGGGGUCGGUGCCCACUUUGUCACCCUCAGUGUCCAGUCUGACCUCAGGCUGGAAAGCUCAUGUCCAGUGCCCCAGUAUCCCAGGAGGCAAAGAGGUGGAACGGGGCAGAGGAGAAG